UACGUAGGGUGCAAGCGUUGUCCGGAAUUAUUGGGCGUAAAGAGCUCGUAGGCGGUCUGUCGCGUCUGCUGUGAAAACUCAGGGCUUAACCCUGAGCUUGCAGUGGGUACGGGCAGACUAGAGUGUGGUAGGGGAGACUGGAAUUCCUGGUGUAGCGGUGAAAUGCGCAGAUAUCAGGAGGAACACCGGUGGCGAAGGCGGGUCUCUGG
rnacentral:rRNA from 1 species